UCAAAACAAAUGAUAAAUCACAGAAUUAAUCUCCAGAAUAAUUCCUAAAUAAUACUUUAAUCAACCAAUUUAUUAAAGGUUCAGAUGAUACUUUGGGCCAGUGGAUAAAGCAAUGGAUGGUCAGCAUGGAAGGCAGAGUAAUCUGUGAGGGUGAGCAUGCACACUGGAAUUCCUUCAAAGAUGCUUUGCUGGCAUAAAUCCAGAGAGGGGAACCAAGGCUGUGAGAGGAAAUGUGACGUCAAAAAAAACUGGCAACACAGUUCAGAAGAAGACCACGACUGUAAACCCCAAGGUUUCAAACCUUUUGAAGAAACUAAUGGACUUUGAAUGGGACAUUAUUUAAAAUGCAGCUAGCUUGCACCCCCCUACUUUUGCAACACAGAGGCCUUUUUUUCUUUAUUUGCUGAAGCUCAUUUUGGGCCUAUAUAUUUUUAUAUUUUAUAUCCAAGACUAAAUUGUAAAGUGGCUAUUUAUUAAUUUAUUCUAUGACAUUCGGUAAGUUGCUUCUUGUUGUAAAAUGCUGAAUAUGAUCUUAACAUUUCUGGAGAACUUACAAUUUUUGCCUGUUCUUUGGCUUAAUAUUUUCACAAACACAAUGCAGAUUUUAUUUUGUGUUGUUUGAAAAUAAAAAUGUGAAAUAUAACUUGGA